rnacentral:lncRNA from 1 species
UCACAGCCCUGAGUUACAGAGCCCAUUCCUCUCAGCUCUUCCGGCGGGAUUUUGGGACAAACAAGACUCACCUGGCUUUCCCUACCUGGCCCGCGGGAAAAUCAGACAAAGAACUUUACAUUUGAAAUCCCUCUGGUUCCCGGAUGCAAGACUGGGAAACGCGCCUCGUGGACCCAGGAAGAGAAGUCCCUCGGACCUAUUUCAUUGAAAAAAGAGAAACCUCCAGGAAAGAGGAAGCAGAAAAGUAGAAAGAGGUUAAGUCAUGCACAUCAAUUGGGGCCAUCAAAGAAAAGCGACUGCAGGAAAGGAACAAGGAUCAAUGAGGAGGGAAGGAAAAUGGAACCCGCUCAUGGAGAGUCUAAAAUUAAAAAACUUCUUAAGCUUGGGAAGAUGCCGCAGCAACAUGAAACAGUGAGCAUUUCGAUUGUUCAUCCUUCCUUUGGAUACCAUCACGGCAACUUGAAAGUCAUGAAAAAAUGCAGAACACUUGGAAGAGACAACCAUGGAUUAUUGCAGUCAGCGCUUCCCAAUGUGGCUUUACCUUGCACAGAUGAAACUCAUGAGCAGCUCAAGCAGAGAGGAGAUAACUACAACCCAGGUAUGGCUUCAGUUAAAUGCUUAAAUGAGAGAGACGUGUGCUUGUUAAAUGAUUAAGAGCCAGCAAUUCCCCAUAUCUAGAAGUAUGACCUUAUGUAACUCUCUAGACUUUACUAUCUACAUCUGUAAAAUGAGAAUUUUAAUAGUUCCUAUUUCAUAGGUCUGUUGAGG